rnacentral:rRNA from 1 species
GAUCAUGGCUCAGGAUGAACGCUAGCUACAGGCUUAACACAUGCAAGUCGAGGGGCAGCAUGGUCUUAGCUUGCUAAGGCCGAGUGGCGACCGGCGCGACGGGUGAGUAACGCGUAUCCAACCUUCCCCUUAGUAGGGCAUAGCCCGUAGAAAUGCGGAUUAAUACCCUAUGUUGUCAGUAGAGGACAUCUGAAGUUGACCAAAGGUUCACCGCUAAGGGAUGGGGAUGCGUCCGAUUAGGCAGUCGGCGGGGUAACGGCCCACCGAGCCGUCGAUCGGUAGGGGUUCUGAGAGGAAGGUCCCCCACACUGGUACUGAGACACGGACCAGACUCCUACGGGAGGCAGCAGUGAGGAAUAUUGGUCAAUGGGCGUAAGCCUGAACCAGCCAAGUAGCGUGCAGGACGACGGCCCUACGGGUUGUAAACUGCUUUUAUGCGGGGAUAACCGGCGCCACGCGUGGCGCCCUGCAGGUACCGCAUGAAUAAGGACCGGCUAAUUCCGUGCCAGCCGCGGC